UAAGGCUUCCCUCCCCUAGAGUCUCAUUACUUUUAGAAUGGGAUGCAUGAGUUUUUUUUUAUUUUUGUGAGUUUUGUGAUUUCUCUUCUUGAGCUCUAGCCAACUCAUUGAUUUUGUUCUCAUUCUCCAAUUGUCUAAAAGAGAUUAAUUGUACCGCUUGUGAAACUUCUUUUAAAAGAGUUUUCAAAGAUUUUACUUCACUUUCAAUAGACUUUGGAGAGUGAGAAGAAGAAGACAUGGCUAAAACCUUGUGUAUUUAGGUGUUUUACUUUGAGAAAAUUUAGGGAAGUUAAAGAAGGUAGUUUUCCAGGUAAGGGAGGUGAGUCACAAUGGACUACUUAAGUACCAAGCCUUUUCCUUGCCAAAAACUAUCCUCCAAUGCCUUCACACAAAACUUUCUCUUAGUGAAACACUUAGAACACAAAUAAGU
rnacentral:lncRNA from 1 species